rnacentral:rRNA from 1 species
UACGGGGGGGGCAAGCGUUGUUCGGAAUUACUGGGCGUAAAGGGUUUGUAGGUGGCUUGUUAAGUCAGACGUGAAAUCCCUCAGCUUAACUGGGGAACUGCGUCUGAUACUGGUUGGCUUGAGUGCAGGAGAGGAACGCGGAAUUCCAGGUGUAGCGGUGAAAUGCGUAGAUAUCUGGAGGAACACCGGUGGCGAAGGCGGCGUUCUGGACUGCAACUGACACUGAGGAACGAAAGCCAGGGGAGCAAACGGG